UUUUCAUCUCUGAUCAAACAAUGAUCAUACUAUUUACAAUUAACUCUUAAUUCUUAAUCCUAAUAUCGAACCAUAAUCUAUUCUCUACUUAUUAUAUCAUCAGCUGUGCUUUCCCUCUGUCAUGUUGUCAUCACACUAGUUCAAUGUUUAUGUUUAUCAGUUUCAUUUUUUUCCCUCUCUCUCUCUCAUUUAUUACAACCCAACAAGUUAAUUGUUACAAUGAAUCACAAUUAUUGGUGAAUCAUUUUCAGCUCUUAUUGUUAUUAAUUCAACCUCAAUUAAUCGUUUUCUCUUUCUUUAUUUACAUAGGAGGGUAUAAAUCGGAGAUAGAGAGAGAGAGAUGUAAACAUGUACCAUGAAAACAAACAACCACCUUGAUCGGAAGAAGUCAUUAGCUUUGUGAAGCCUAAUGAGUACAAAUUUUGUUGCUUUUAAUUUUCUUUUCGCUUCUUAAUUGUUGAUAUGCUUUAAGCCAAAAUCAGGUGAUGAUCAGCCUUCAUUUCACUUGUUGUUGUCUCUUACUGAUUGACCUUUAAAGCCAUUUACAGUUACACUUGGAGAAAAACAAGUUUCGAUAAUCAUUUUGAAUGGUAACAUUAUCAUCGUUGGAUAAAGUCUCACUCACUCUCUCUCUCUCUUUUAAUUAAGACAGAAAUGAUUAAUUGAUCCAAAAUAAUCAAAGUUAACAAUAACAAUCGACGUCGUUGGCAAUGGAAAAACACUAAUGAUUAUUGCACGAAUAUAUUGGCAAAGAUGAUGAAGAUAAUGAUUUCCUAUUAACAUUUGAUUGUGAUUAAUCAAUUCCACAGAAAAUACACCAGACAAUUGUCA